UACGGGGGGUGCGAGCGUUAAUCGGAAUAACUGGGCGUAAAGGGCACGCAGGCGGACUUUUAAGUUAGGUGUGAAAUCCCCGGGCUUAACCUGGGAAUUGCCUUUCAUACUGGGAGUCUAGAGUGCUUUAGGGAGGGGUAGAAUUCCACGUGUAGCGGUGAAAUGCGUAGAGAUGUGGAGGAAUACCGAAGGCGAAGGCAGCCCCUUGGGAAGGUAUUGACGCUCAUGUGCGAAAGCGUGGGGAACAAACAGG
rnacentral:rRNA from 1 species